ensembl:lncRNA LINC01198 long intergenic non-protein coding RNA 1198
CAUAAGGCCACGUCACUUCUUGCGUAAUAUCUAAGCGUGAAGGUUGGGUAAAAUUAGCUGGAACUUCUCACAGUCCAUUAAUAAAGCUUUAAAUGUGACACAUGUGUUGUUAUCCUCUUCCAACAGGGCACACCCAGACAGAAGACAAAGAAGGCUGAAGAAGUAAGAGUGAGAAACCGAGAGGGUGGCGUCGGACCCCUGUCAGAGAGUAAAUCUCAAGUAAGGUACCUGCCAUCGGCAGAUUUGAGCUUUCUUCUUGGACACCUAAUACCCACAGUCCUCCAGGCUCCGGUAGACUGCAAAUGACCUGCUUUCUUUCUGUUCCCGGGCUGCGUUUGGACCCCUGUCGGACAGUAAAUCCCAAGUAAGGUACCUGCCCUCGGCAGAUUUGAGCUUUCUUCUUGGACACCUAAUACCCACAGUCCUCCAGGAUAACUUCAGGAAGUGGGUAUUAAUUCUCACGGUAUAAGUGAAGACAUUAAGCACCAGAGUUUAAGUAGCUUGAUCCACUGAAAGAGAUUCAACUGUGUGGAACCUAUGCCGUGGAGAAUUGCUUUCUGCCAUUGUUAUCGUCCAGCAGUUGCCGAAUAGCUCUGACCUGAGCAAAGCAGUGAAACGCGGUGCUGUUGAGUGGGUUGCCACUGCACCUUUUUCAACUACUCUAGUCUUGUGGAGAAAAUACCCCUUCUAAAUUUUUUCUUCAUUGAAUACUCUCCCUCAGCUCCAGAGUACCAUAUAGAGUUUUCUUGUAUUUUAGAGUUACUGUUUUAUCAAAGUUUACCAGUCUUUUGUAUUACAUUUCUCCUGUCUAAAUCGACUGUGUGGUUUCUACUCAUUAUGGAUAUAGAUUGAUACAAACUCAAUAAAUAUUUUUGAAUGAA